GAUCUAGCUUGCUAGAUGCUGACGAGUGGCGCACGGGUGCGUAACGCGUAUACAAUCUACCUUUAACUGAGGGAUAGCCCAGAGAAAUUUGGAUUAAUACCUCAUAGUAUUAUAAUUAGGCAUCUUUUUAUAAUUAAAACUUCGGUGGUUAAAGAUGAGUAUGCGUACUAUUAGCUAGUUGGUAAGGUAAAAGCUUACCAAGGCAACGAUAGUUAGGGGGCCUGAAAGGGUGAUCCCCCACACUGGUACUGAGACACGGACCAGACUCCUACGGGAGGCAGCAGUGAGGAAUAUUGCACAAUGGAGGAAACUCUGAUGCAGCCAUGCCGCGUGCAGGAAGAAUGCCCUAUGGGUUGUAAACUGCUUUUAUACAAGAAGAAACCUCGGUACGUGUACCGACUUGACGGUAUUGUAUGAAUAAGCACCGGCUAACUCCGUGCCAGCAGCCGCGGUAAUACGGAGGGUGCAAGCGUUAUCCGGAUUUAUUAGGUUUAAAGGGUCCGCAGGCGGAAUAUUAAGUCAGUGGU
rnacentral:rRNA from 1 species